rnacentral:rRNA from 1 species
AUACGGAGGUUACGAACGUUAAUCGGAAUUACUGGGCGUAAAGAGCGCGUAGGUGGCUUGGUAAGUCGGAUGUGAAAGCCCCGGGCUUAACCUGGGAAUGGCAUUCGAAACUGCCAGGCUAGAGUAUGGUAGAGGGAAGUGGAAUUCCGGGUGUAGCGGUGAAAUGCGUAGAUAUCCGGAGGAACACCAGUGGCGAAGGCGGCUUCCUGGACCAAUACUGACACUGAGGUGCGAAAGCGUGGGGAGCAAACAGGAUUAGAAACCCCAGUAGUCC